rnacentral:rRNA from 1 species
GCUUGACCUCGGAUCAGGUAGGGAUACCCGCUGAACUUAAGCA